GACGAACGCUGGCGGCGUGCUUAACACAUGCAAGUCGAACGGAAAGGCCCUGCUUUUGUGGGGUGCUCGAGUGGCGAACGGGUGAGUAACACGUGAGUAACCUGCCCUUGACUUUGGGAUAACUUCAGGAAACUGGGGCUAAUACCGGAUAGGAGCUCCUGCUGCAUGGUGGGGGUUGGAAAGUUUCGGCGGUUGGGGAUGGACUCGCGGCUUAUCAGCUUGUUGGUGGGGUAGUGGCUUACCAAGGCUUUGACGGGUAGCCGGCCUGAGAGGGUGACCGGCCACAUUGGGACUGAGAAACGGCCCAGAUUCUUACGGGAGGCAGCAGUGGGGAAUAUUGCACAAUGGGCGGAAGCCGGAUGCAGCAACGCGGCGUGCGGGAUGACGGCCUUCGGGUUGUAAACCGCUUUCGCCUGUGACGAAGCGUGAGUGACGGUAAUGGGUAAAGAAGCACCGGCUAAUUACGU
rnacentral:rRNA from 1 species